AGAGAGCGGCGGACGGGUGAGUAACGCGUGGGUAACCUGCCCUGUACACACGGAUAACAUACCGAAAGGUAUGCUAAUACGGGAUAACAUAAGAAAUUCGCAUGUUUUUCUUAUCAAAGCUCCGGCGGUACAGGAUGGACACGCGUCUGAUUAGCUAGUUGGUGAGGUAACGGCUCACCAAGGCGACGAUCAGUAGCCGACCUGAGAGGGUGAUCGGCCACAUUGGAACUGAGACACGGUCCAAACUCCUACGGGAGGCAGCAGUGGGGAAUAUUGCACAAUGGGCGAAAGCCUGAUGCAGCAACGCCGCGUGAGCGAUGAAGGCCUUCGGGUCGUAAAGCUCUGUCCUCAAGGAAGAUAAUGACGGUACUUGAGGAGGAAGCCCCGGCUAACUACGUGCCAGCAGCCGCGGUAAUACGUAGGGGGCUAGCGUUAUCCGGAUUUACUGGGCGUAAAGGGUGCGUAGGCGGUCUUUUAAGUCAGGAGUGAAAGGCUACGGCUCAACCGUAGUAAGCUCUUGAAACUGGAGGACUUGAGUGCAGGAGAGGAGAGUGGAAUUCCUAGUGUAGCGGUGAAAUGCGUAGAUAUUAGGAGGAACACCAGUAGCGAAGGCGGCUCUCUGGACUGUAACU
rnacentral:rRNA from 1 species